rnacentral:rRNA from 1 species
AUUGAACGCUGGCGGCAUGCCUUACACAUGCAAGUCGAACGGUAACGGGCCUUCGGGUGCCGACGAGUGGCGAACGGGUGAGUAAUACAUCGGAACGUGCCCGAUCGUGGGGGAUAACGAGGCGAAAGCUUUGCUAAUACCGCAUACGAUCUACGGAUGAAAGCAGGGGACCGCAAGGCCUUGCGCGGACGGAGCGGCCGAUGGCAGAUUAGGUAGUUGGUGGGAUAAAAGCUUACCAAGCCGACGAUCUGUAGCUGGUCUGAGAGGAUGAUCAGCCACACUGGGACUGAGACACGGCCCAGACUCCUACGGGAGGCAGCAGUGGGGAAUUUUGGACAAUGGGCGCAAGCCUGAUCCAGCCAUGCCGCGUGCAGGAUGAAGGCCUUCGGGUUGUAAACUGCUUUUGUACGGAACGAAAAGUCUUCUUUUAAUACAGGAGGGUCAUGACGGUACCGUAAGAAUAAGCACCGGCUAACUACGUG